rnacentral:rRNA from 1 species
GACAGAGGAUGCAAGCGUUAUCCGGAAUGAUUGGGCGUAAAGCGUCUGUAGGUGGCUUUUCAAGUCCGCCGUCAAAUCCCAGGGCUCAACCCUGGACAGGCGGUGGAAACUACCAAGCUGGAGUACGGUAGGGGCAGAGGGAAUUUCCGGUGGAGCGGUGAAAUGCAUUGAUAUCGGAAGGAACGCCGGUGGCGAAAGCGACGUACUGGACCUCUUCUGACGCUGAGGCGCGAAAGCUAGGGGAGCAAACGGG